GCAGACGUCAAAACUACGGGGUUUAAAGCCCGACCCCAAACAAUCUUCAUACAUUUCUGCUACCAUCUCUAACUGUGCAACACAAAGACAGCAGAGAAGAAACAAGUUCUGCAAAAACUUCAGCAGUUCUGAGACGCAGACGAGAUGGAAUGGAUGCAGCUUUUCUCAAAGUGGUUAGAAGAAGUGCUGACCCACUCUACAGUCGUUGGCAGAGUCUGGCUGACCGUCCUCUUCUUCUUCAGGGUCUUCAUGCUGAUGGUGGGGGUUGAUGCCUUACAAAAGGACAAAUUGGUCUGCAAUACAUACCAACCUGGCUGUGCCGAGUCUUGUCACAGUCAUUUUUUCCCAGUAUUUCCUGUCCACUUCUGGUGGGCUCAAAUAAUUUUUGCAUCUGCUCCGACUCUGCUGUACUUCGCUUAUGUGAUGCAUGUAAUGUACAGAGAAAGAAUGAUCCCUGCCCCCGGAAAGGCCAGUGGGAAUGUGAGAAAGAGUGUGAUGUGUAGCUACUUUGCUCAACUGCUUGUUAAGAUCAUCUUAGAAGUUGCUUUCAUUGUCGCACAAUACUUUCUAUUCGGUUUUGUGAUUUUUCUAAAUAUUAGCUGUGAGGAAAAUCCAUGUCCUAAUCGAGUGGACUGCUACUUACCACAAGCUGCUGAGCUGACUGUCUUUUCCAUCUACAUGAUUGCAGUCGCUUGUGUGUCUGUGGUUUUAAAUGUACUGGAGGGGCUUUUGCUUUUUAGAAAGUUGAGGAGACAAAAUCAAAAGCGUAGACUCUCAUCUUCAUGUCUGACAGAUGUAAGUGCCAAACAGCUUAAAAACAAUCUCUGUGAUGAAGGAGAAGCUUAUGACCUGAAGCAGGCGAAUGACUAUAUAAGGAAAUCCAAUAACUGAUGCUUAAGACAAAAGACUAUGGGUGUGUCUCAAAACCUAGUGAGCUCUCUACAUAGACAGCAUUUUACAUCACAAUAUGCUCGCUUUGACCACAACUAUUGUCUAUUUUGCUGUUUCAUUCAGAGCAAAUACAAUUAAAAUCGCUAUAUAAACUGCCAGAGCAGAUCCAUGUUGGCUAAAUGUGAUUCUGACGGCUGAGAUAAGUAAACGUCGGUCUCGUGCAGUGCGCGGGAACAAGCGGCGACGUCACUGCUGUCUAACUAGAGCAUCUCAUUUAUCUAUCUUAUAAGGAUAGAUGAUGGUUGGAACACUGCCUACUUAGACAGCUGCCUAUGUAGACAGCGACUACUUAGACAGCUCACUAGGUUUUGAGACACACCCUAUGUGUUUAAACUCUACCUUCAUGUCCAAUAUAUUCCACAGUCUUCGAAAGGACGGGAAGACAGGACAGCUGAGCCUGAGCAUCUGUUGCGUCUGGCACCAGGCUGGGGCAGGGAUAACUGAUUUAUUACAAACAGUUUGCUAAAGGUUUGCCUAUCUUGAUUAAAUGUCAGCUAAAAGAGGAGAGAAAUGUAAACAUUCAAAAAUUCUGUGAAGAUAUUAAGUAGCUAAAGUUAGGCGAACACAAGUAAGUUAGCCUAUUUCACUGUGGACUAAGCUAUGAGGAGCACUUCCACCACUAAUGGACUGCAUCCACCCUUCUUUGUGAAAAAUUGGGUGACAUAUUUUUGCCAUUUCUUUUCUUCUCUCCUGUCUUUCUUUUCUUUCUUUUCGUUUCUGGAUGCCAGAUUUUACCUUAGGAAUCUGAGACAUAAAGCUCUACCAACACUCCUCACUUACACUUCACUGCUAGCAAAUAUCAUUCAUGCCUGGUUUGGAGGCAGGACUAAACCAUUUCAUGUAAAUAGAGGGCAAUAUAUAGAGGCUCUCUGGAUGUUUACUUUUUGCUGAAAAAAAAGUAUAAGAAACUGUUACACAAGUUAAAAUUAAAAAAGGCUAUAAAAAGACUUUAUUACUUUCAGUUAUAUAAAAGAUAUCUUCACAUGUUCACAUUGAAUCAUUUCAGUGUUUAACUGUGUUUGUCUUGUUUUGAGGAAAGAGGCUUUCUGGAGGCCUUUUCUCCUUCUUCGCUGUAUUCCAACAGUUAGAAAUACCCCAUCUACUCGAUAUUCACAUUAGGAGCUUGGGGCUACUCUCAUUGUAAUACACAUUGUCACUCAUGGUGAGUAGUAGCCAUAGCAGAGGUCAUGGAGACUGGUCUAAAGGUCUUCUCACACAAUGCAUUAACCUGAGUCGAUAAGGUCAUUGGGCCUCAUUCACCACUAUCUUCCUACAUUUGUUCUUAAAAGUGUUCUUGAGAAAGGUCUUAGGAAAAUGUCUACAUUAGAUUGAUGUUGUGUUCUUAAACCACAGAACUGUUCACACCUUUGUGUUCUUGAGUGUGCGUAGAUUCUGUUCUUACCUAAAAACAAAUCCCAAAUAAGAAAACAGAGGGUGAAAGUCAGAAUCUUCAUGAAAACUGUGUAAGUGGGUUUUAAGAAGAAAUUUCUUCUUAAGAACAGUUGGCGAAAGAGGCCCAUUGAGGCCUUCACGAACUCACUGGACACUUAACAAGAGCUAAGCAGAUGAAAAGUGGACUUUUGUUUUUAUCUUCCUUAUAAAAGUCACUGACCUUUGAAUUUUAACAGGGGCUCUUCAAAACCAUUUAUAAAAGCAGCAUUUGUUUAGCAUUUAUCGUACUGUUUAUUGUAUUUUUGUGUUUAGAAAGCACAUUUUUACCAUCUUUGAAAGUAGCUACAAAGAUUUGAACUCUGGGAUUAUUGUUUGUUAUUAUUGUUUGGUUAUUAAUCUUAAAGCUGACUCUACAUGGAUAAACCUUCAUGGAACUGUAGAAACAUCAUUUCUGCACAACUUCACAGUAAAACGAAGCAAUGCAAAAAACUGCAAGCAGUAUAUUCGAUUAUUGAACUAAUUAGUAGGAUUAGCAGCUAGUUUUUUUCUUCUGUGGUGGGUAUUUAGCCCAUAAUUUCGUUUUUUUUUUUUUUAUGAGAGAGGAGAAAAUGAAUAUCCUGGCUACAAAGACAACAAUAUAGAAGACUAACAAUGUAGAACUAACACUGGCACAAGCCACCAGCCAAACAGCAGUGAAUUACAUUAACUGGUUGUCACUGUAUAAUGUUAAAGUUGCACUUUGUAACUUAAGCAAAGUUACAAAGUGCAGUUGGCGAACUCUCUGGUAUGUAUGUAACUGCACAAAACAUGUGGAAGAUCAUUUUGUAUUGUGGACUUUACUGAGGUUGUGUCUGCUUCACCACAGAACUAGCCGAUAGCAGUGCUGAGAAUGAUCCACCAUUCAAAUAAUACCUGCUCUGUGGUGGUCCUGUGGGGGUCCUGACCACUGAAGAACCGAGUGAAAGGGAGUUUACAAAGUAUAUAGAGAAACUGGUGGACUGCAGUCUGUUAUUGACUGAACUACAAAGUGCUCCUAUAUGCAGUUCUGAGACGCAGAUGAGAUGGAAUGGACGCAGCUUUUCUCAAAGUGGUCAGAAGAAGUGCUGACCCACUCUACAGUCGUUGGCAGAGUCUGGCUAACCGCCCUCUUCUUCUUCAGAGUCUUCAUGCUGAUGGUGGGAGUUGAUGUCUUAGAGCAGGACAAAUUGGUCUGCAAUACACAACAAUGUGGCUGUGCUGAGUCUUGCCGCAAUCGUUUGUUUCCAGUGGUUCCUUUCUGCUUCUGGUGGGCUCAGAUCAUUUUUGCAUCUGCUCCAACUCUGCUGUACCUCGCUUAUGUGAUGCAUGUAAUGUAUGGAGAGGCAAAGCCCUCUGAGAAGGCGAGUGGGAAUGUGAGAAAGAGUGUGAUGUGUAGCUACUUUGCUCAACUGCUUGUUAAGAUCAUCUUAGAAGUUGCUUUCAUUGUCGCACAAUACUUUCUAUACGGUUUUGUGAUUUUUCUAAAUAUUAGCUGUGAGGAAAAUCCAUGUCCUAAUCGAGUGGACUGCUACUUACCAUGAGCUGCUGAGUUGACUGUCUUUUCCAUCUACACACUUGUUGUCACUUGUGUGUCUGUGGUUUUAAAUGUACUGGAGGGGCUUUUGCUUUUUAGAAAGUUGAGGAGACAAAAUCAAAAGCGUAGACUCUCGUCUUCAUGUCUGACAGAUGUAAGUGCCAAACAGCUUAAAAACAAUCUCUGUGAUGAAGGAGAAGCUUAUGACCUGAAGCAGGUUAAUAAAUAAGGAAUAAAUAAUAAAUAAGGAAUCCAAUAACUGAUAUUUGGGAGAAAAGACUAUUUGUGAAACACAUGGCUAAUACAUUCCAAAGUCUCCACUAAAACUGUAUAUGGACCAUUUUAAUGACAGCUAUUAAAAAACAUUAAAUAUUCAGACCUUAGAUAUUUACAAGCAUUAUACUAUGAUUGAUGUAAACCCAGACAUUGAGACAGUAAUAAGCUAAAUAAAUCACUGUUGGAACAAAACGUCGUAUCUAUGAAAUGGCAACUUUACAAGAAAAGGAAAAAACAUACUGUACU